rnacentral:rRNA from 1 species
GAGUGGCGAACGGGUGAGUAAUACGUGAGUAACCUGCCCUUGACUCUGGGAUAAGCCCGGGAAACUGGGUCUAAUACUGGAUGCUACAUGUCACCGCAUGGUGGUGUGUGGAAAGGGUUUACUGGUCUUGGAUGGGCUCACGGCCUAUCAGCUUGUUGGUGAGGUAAUGGCUCACCAAGGCGACGACGGGUAGCCGGCCUGAGAGGGUGACCGGCCACACUGGGACUGAGACACGGCCCAGACUCCUACGGGAGGCAGCAGUGGGGAAUAUUGCACAAUGGGCGAAAGCCUGAUGCAGCGACGCCGCGUGAGGGAUGACGGCCUUCGGGUUGUAAACCUCUUUCAGCAGGGAAGAAGCCACAAGUGACGGUACCUGCAGAAGAAGCGCCGGCUAACUACGUGCCAGCAGCCGCGGUAAUACGUAGGGCGCAAGCGUUGUCCGGAAUUAUUGGGCGUAAAGAGCUCGUAGGCGGUUUGUCGCGUCUGCUGUGAAAGCCCGGGGCUUAACCCCGGGUGUGCAGUGGGUACGGGCAGACUAGAGUGCAGUAGGGGAGACUGGAAUUCCUGGUGUAGCGGUGGAAUGCGCAGAUAUCAGGAGGAACACCGAUGGCGAAGGCAGGUCUCUGGGCUGUUACUGACGCUGAGGAGCGAAAGCAUGGGGAGCGAACAGGAUUAGAUACCCUGGUAGUCCAUGCCGUAAACGUUGGGCACUAGGUGUGGGGGACAUUCCACGUUUUCCGCGCCGUAGCUAACGCAUUAAGUGCCCCGCCUGGGGAGUACGGCCGCAAGGCUAAAACUCAAAGGAAUUGACGGGGGCCCGCACAAGCGGCGGAGCAUGCGGAUUAAUUCGAUGCAACGCGAAGAACCUUACCAAGGCUUGACAUAUACCGGAUCGUUCCAGAGAUGGUUCUUCCCCUUUGGGGUCGGUAUACAGGUGGUGCAUGGUUGUCGUCAGCUCGUGUCGUGAGAUGUUGGGUUAAGUCCCGCAACGA